rnacentral:tRNA from 1 species
GCACAGAUGGUGUAACGGCAGCACGGGAGCUUCCAAACCUCUUUGUCCGGGUUCAAAUCCUGGUCUGUGCG